UGUCAGGAGUUAAGAAAUGUAGGAAUGUUAAUAGCAUUUCUAUUUGACUAAGGCUCCAGAGGAAGCCACGGCUAACUCUGUGCCAGCAGCCGCGGUAAUACAGAGGUGGCAAGCGUUGUUCGGAAUUAUUGGGCGUAAAGAGCACGUAGGCGGCCCUGUCAGUCAGUUGUGAAAGCCUUCCGCUCAACGGAAGAACGGCAGCUGAUACUAUAGGGCUAGAGUACGGGAGGGGAGAGUGGAACUUCUGGU
rnacentral:rRNA from 1 species